GUGUGUGUGUGUAAGGAUAAUUUCUUAAGUAUGUGUCACAACGGUAUCCAAUUCUAUUGAGUGGACCAGCAUCAUCAUGAUGUGACAUUGUAUUGAGUCCUGAGCGUGAAACAGGAUUUUCUUUUGUCGUUCAUUCCUCUCUUUUAGCGAAUGUGAGAAAUCCAUUGAGGAUUUAAUAACACUUUCAAGAGGGACUCUAUACUUUCUGA
rnacentral:snoRNA from 1 species